rnacentral:rRNA from 1 species
AGAAUGAACGCUGGCGGCAUGCCUAACACAUGCAAGUCGAACGAAUUACCUUCGGGUAGUUAGUGGCGCACGGGUGCGUAACGCGUGGGAAUCUGCCCCUUGGUUCGGAAUAACAGCGAGAAAUUGCUGCUAAUACCGGAUGAUGACGUAAGUCCAAAGAUUUAUCGCCAAGGGAUGAGCCCGCGUAGGAUUAGGUAGUUGGUGUGGUAAAGGCGCACCAAGCCGACGAUCCUUAGCUGGUCUGAGAGGAUGAUCAGCCACACUGGGACUGAGACACGGCCCAGACUCCUACGGGAGGCAGCAGUGGGGAAUAUUGGACAAUGGGCGAAAGCCUGAUCCAGCAAUGCCGCGUGAGUGAUGAAGGCCUUAGGUUGUAAAGCUCUUUACCGGAUGAUAUGACAGUACCGGAGAAUAAGCUCCGGCUAACUCCGUGCCAGCAGCCGC